AUCGAACGCUGGCGGCAGGCCUAACACAUGCAAGUCGAGCGAGUGGCGGACGGGUGAGUAAUGUAUGGGGACUGCCCGAUAGAGGGGGAUAACUACUGGAAACGGUUGCUAAUACCGCAUAUUGUCGGAUAACCCAUAUGGGAUGAGCUAGUAGGUAAGGUAAUGGCUUACCUAGGCGACGAUCCAUAGCUGGUCUGCGAGGGUGAUCAGCCACACUGGGACGGAGACACGGCCCAGACUCCUACGGAGGCAGCAGUGGGUAAUAUUGCACAAUGGACGCAAGCCUGAUGCAGCCAUGCCGCGUGUAUGAAGAAGGCCCUAGGGUUGUAAAGUACUUUCAGUCGGGAGGCGUUACCGACAGAAGAAGCACCGGCUAACUCCGUGCCAGCAGCCGCGGUAAUUC
rnacentral:rRNA from 1 species